rnacentral:lncRNA from 1 species
UUAAAAUGACUUGUUGAAGAUUAAAUAAAUGUUACUUCAAACUUAACACUCCCACAAAUCAACAAUGGAAGUGAGAAAAUCUUCCACUGAGAAAGUCUCCAAUAUAUUCUUCACCUAAAAUUUAUACAAUAUUUUCUUCUCAAAAAAUGGAGGCUAUGAAAUCAAGAUAUAAACCUAAAAAUUGGAAAGAUGGAAUAUUAUGUAUGAAUCUAGGGUUUGAGUCUUUUUGUCAAAAUUGGGAUCAGCCGCGCGUAUUUUUAGAUUUGUCCUUGGGCUGAUUUCUCCGCUAAGUCCCGAUCGUGUAAGUAUGGCUGCGACCGCGGCUACGUGACCGUGGUUGAAUGAAUUUUGCUUGACUACCGUGAUCGCGAUCAGCAGACCGCGACCACAGUACUUAAGGCCCUUCUGCUCCAAGUCUUUAGCUGCACUUUCUUGCUCCCUUUAGAUCCUUUUAAACUCCAAUCCACAUCAUUUGAUCUCAUUAACUAUGUGCCUGCAAAGAGUGGAUAUUAGUGUUUUUAAUCACAAUUAUGUCUUAUUUAUUCAUUUGAAACAAGGUAAUGUGCACGAAUGAUUAGUGCGAAUGAGUGGUAAAAUCACCACUCAUCAGUUACCUGACCCAUCGACAUACCAUACGACUUAUAUGAUGAGUUAUUACCAGGACAGUGAGCUCAAAGCUCAAGAAAUAUCCAAGGGCCAAAAUGGGGCACUCUUUGGUACCGGAGCCAGAUGGCGCACUCUUUGGUGCCGAAUCUGAUAAAGAGGCAAGAGGAACCUUGUUCGCCCCAAAAGCAACCUUACCAAGAGAAAAGUUUCUAAGCAUAUGCCCUGGCUGACCACAGCUAAAGCAUUUGUCCCUUACCUCAUCACAGAAACCCGAUGCAAUCUACCACAAAAUCUAUAGAAAGGAUAUGACGGAGCCGAUUGGGCCCCACUAGCCUGAGAUUUGUCACUAUGUGACCUAUAACUAUCGUCACCUAAAAAUUCCUAUCACUAUGGCCUUAGGUAGGGAGCACUAGCCAUCGAGCGAGACCCAAAAUUACCCCACCACUUCUUGGAUGACUUUCCACCAUCCCUACCACUCUACUGUUGGCCACCACUCUGAUUAGAGAAUCUAAACCUCUUCCUCUGCCUCUCUACCAUCUCCUCAUGCUUCAUCUUCUCUUUCUAAACCUGUUGCAUGUCCACAACCAACAUGGAGAUAUCUAUGUCCUUGUCAACAAGGUAGCCUUACUUUCCAGAAAUAAGUCUCGGGAGAACCCAAAAGCAAACUUUUUCAUGUUAUCCCUCAUGCUAGAGACCAACUCCUAAUCAUACCGAGAUAACCGGUGAAACUUAAAGGUAUACUCCUUGACUGACAUUUUUCCUUGCUUCAGGUUAACAAACUCUUCUACCUUCACCUCCCUCAACUCUUGAGAAAUGAAGUGGUCCAGGAAAAUAAUAGAAAAAUCAUCCCAUAUAGCUGACUCAGCAUCGCCACCCCUUGACUGGUCCCUUUCUCCGUACAACUAAUAGCCACAACUUUUAAUUGGUAGGUGGGAAACUCUACGCCCUUCAUAUUAGUGGAAUGCAUCACACGAAAGAUAUUUUCUAUCUUAUCAAGGAAACUUUAAGGAUCCUUUUCUACCUUAACUCUAGUAAAGGUUGGAGGGUUCAAUCUCAUAAACUGGACAACCCUUGUGACCUCAGAAUAUAGAGUAAUAGAAGCACUACGCUCAGACUGAGAAGCUACCAACUAAACCAACAUAUGAAUAGACUGACAAAACUCAACAUUUAUCAUAUCAUCAGAAAGAGCUCAAAAAGAAAUAGGGGGAUCGGUGGAACUCCAGAAGGACAAUCAGGAACUGGACCCCUAGACUAGGUCUGGACCCCAUAAGUAGGAUGUGUCCCAUCAACAUUUUCCUCGGGUGGUACAGAGGAGUUUCUAUGAGCUUGAUAUCAUCUAGGAGGCAUGAUCUGAAAAGCGAACAAAUAGAAAUUAGAGAAGAUUUUAGGACCUUAGACUCUACAGCCCAAAAAUAGAACACAAGAAAGAGAAGAAUUCCUAAAUGCCUUGUAGCCUCUCCCUUAUGAGUGUGGGGCACUACAAAAUUAGAAAACAAGUUAGUGAAAAAAAUCCUCUCCUCUCUUACACUCUUUGGAUCACCUCACACUUUAGUUCCCCAAGUGUUGUAGAUUGGCAAGUAACCUGUGAAUCCUUAAGGUAUGAGUAAGCUCUUAUCUGGAGUUGAUUCUUGUUUGAAGACUCAAAGAAUUCUCAUCGGAAUAGAACAAGAAGUAGCAACGUAUUCAAAAGAUAAAAGCACCCAAGUAAUCGUUGACAUGAACAAACGGAUUCAAAGGAUUAAUUGACAACCGAGUAUGAAUGUACUAGUUUGUUAAUUAGUUCUGGAACCAAGUAAGGAAACCAAGAAUCAACAAUUAGAAACUAGAAAAUAUCCAAAUUUGAGCUUAUUAGUGAUGUGGCAGUAGCAAUGGUGAUGUGGCAGCAUGUAAUUGGUCUUGGACCCACACAAUUUUUUUUAUCAUAAAUCUGAAAUUUCAACAUUCACACAACUUGUAAUGGAUGACAAUUGGUUUUGGAGGGAAAGUAAAAGUCUUGUAUUCCUUUUCGACUUUUCAAACUCAAAAAGGUGAGAUUUGACUAUACUAAUCCCACAAAACAAGGUCCACUGAUUUAAGGAAAAGUGGUUGUCAAGUCUAGGAAGCGAUAUGUGCAAGUCUUCUCACCAACAACUUUAUAACUUUUGUCUUACAACCUUUGAAUCUAUUUUACACUUUGUCGUCUUAAGUUGUAAGAAUAGGCGAAGAACAAGAUGAACACCACAAUAACCUUCAAGAACAAAAUAUCAACUUCUUCAAGAACACAACACAAAACCACCAAUUGUCAUCAACAAGGUACAAGCCUAUGGCCCACUUCAAGUCACCACUUAAAGUUAUAAGCUCAACUUUAGAUCUAGACACUUUUAGUGUUGGUGAGAAAGAAACCAACACUAGAAACACACUAAACAAGUAAAAUAACACCUAGAUAUAAAUACACAAACACCAAUCUCGGCCAAGACAACAAGAUGGAUAGAUUUCUCUUUUUUUUCUAAAAAUUUUCAGAUUUCAACAAUUUUUUUUUUGAAUUUUCGUCCAAGAGAGCCCAAGAUUAGUAGUGUAGGAACACAACCAGCCUUGCUUUGAUAAUGCAAGAAUUCAGCAUCAACAACAAGAUGAACAAACUAACACAAGAACAAUAAGUUGAACAACAAGUUCUAGUGAAUCGAACUAGGCCACACACAGCUUCACUAGGCUUUAAGAAUCACGUUUUUAGAAUAAGAUGAUGAAGUUUUCAACAAGAACCAGCAAGUUAACAAGGUGCUAGCAAAUCGAAAGAGCCCCACAUGAAUUCACUAGACUUCAAGAUUACAAAACACAAUCUUAACAAGAUUACAAGAAGAUAGUAACUUGACAUGUAAUAUUCAAGAGUAUAAGAACCCUAACAACAAGAGAGGACCCUAAGACUAAAAAAUAUUAACACCAAGUUCUUACUUAUACCAAGAGGAACUCUAUGACCUCAAGAUCCUUGUUUCUAGCCAAGAUACAACACAAGUAUCACUCCACUUGUGAGUUUUUAGAUUUGGGGCUUCUCCAAUGGAAGAGAGAGAAGUUCCUCAAUAUUACAAGUGUUUAUGUCUCAAAAUAUUAUGAAAGAACUACUGCCAAAUAAUCCUAAUAUUAUCUAUUUAUAUUAUACCAUAAAUAAAGGAGAAAAUAACCAUAUUGCCCUUGCCAUAGGGUGGCCUUGGAGUGAAGUUUAUUACACUUCAAGGCUCCUCUUCACAUUUAAAAACAUUUAAACCAUUAGGUGGAUCAAUCACCAACACACACACGAUCAUUUGCAUGAACAAGGUUUGGACGUUUUGUAACUUCCGAGCUUGGCUACGUGUGAAUGUUCGUGAAUUUGUUGGACAGCUUGCUACACCCGUAUCAGAAUCAAAUUUUCCAAUUCUUUUUUCCCAUUGUUUAGCACAAAACAUUUGCAUCCAAAAGAUCUGAAAUAGUCUAUCCUAGGCUUUCUAGUGAAUACCAUCUCAUAUGGAGUUUUAUUCAGAAGUGAUCUAAUUAAACACCUGUUAGUCACAAAACAAGCAAUAUUCACAGUUUCAGCCCAAAAAUUCUUUGGAAGACUACAAUCAAUUAGCAUAGUCCUAGAAAUCUCUAUGAGAGUUAUAUUUUUCCUUUCAACAACUCUAUUUUGUCGUGGAGUUAUGGGAGAAGAAAAGUUGUGACUUAUUCCAUACUUAGCAUAGAAUUCAUCAACUUGAGAAUUCUCAAAUUAAGUCCUAUGAUCAGACCUAAAUUCAACAAUUUUGCAAUUUAGCCUCACUUGGAUUUUCUUGGAAAAAGCCACAAGAACCACAUAUGUUUCAUCCUUGGUUCUUAUAAACAUUGUCCAGGUGAACCUGGAAUAGUCAUCUACAAUAAAUAGCAUAUAUUUCUUCCCCCUCUACUUUAGACUUUGAUCGGUCUGCAUAAAUCCACGUGAAGUAUUUCAAAGAGUUUGGAAGUACUUACUUGCUUCUUUAAUUUGAAAGAGGAUCUGGUCUGCUUACCUUGCUUCUUUAACACACUUAUCACAGAUUUUGUUGUCUGGAAAUUUCAUCUUUGGCAGGACACGGACCAGGUCCUUUGAAAUUAGCUUAUUUAAUAAGGGGAACUCACAUGCCCUAAUCUUCUAUGCCACAAAUUAGUAUCUUCACCUUGUGCACUUAAAUAAGUUAAUUCCCCAUCAGCCACAGACUCUAGAUCAGCUACAUACAUGUUCUUGAACCUUUUGGCUUUAAGAAUAAUCUUUCCAGAUUUCAUGCUUGAUACAGUUCAUCCAUCAGAUGAGAAUUUUACCUCAUUUCCUUUGUUACAUAUAUGAGAUACACUUAGAAGAUUGUACUUUAGCCCAUUCACAUAAGACACAUCUUCUAUUGCAUGAUGAGGUCAUCUCUUAAUUUUUCCAACACCUUGGAUGUAACCCUUUUUUCCAUUUCCAAAAGACACUCCUCCCCUUUGAAGUGACUUGAGAGAGAGAAACAAAUUAACCCUCCUAGUCAUGUCUCUAGAACAACCACUAUCCAUAAACCAAUUUUGGUUGUCAUCCCUCUUUUCUAUCACAUUUUCUUCUCUAUCUUCAAUAGUGGCCAUUAGAGAGCUACAAGAUCCUGAGGUUAUUCUCUUUUCACCAUGUUUCAGCAUAAAACCAUCUCCAUCCUCCUUGUCUUUCUAAGAUUUAUUUGAGGAGUCUUACUAUACAGUCAACUUCUUUAUUAAACUGCUAGCUGCAUCUUUUCUUCUAGAUUUUUUAGGAUUUUGAUCUUUCUUUUUGCUAAGAUGACCAGCCCUUUUUAUAGCUCUAAUAAUCUUUGUUGCCAGAAGUGUAACAUCGGUGUCUUUUUUGCCUGGGUCAGAUUCUCGAUAUUUCAAGGUGAGGAAUCUCUCCUUUCUUGCUUCUUUUAUUUCCACCCCUAAUUCAGUUAUAAUAGCCAUGAUGACUAGAACACUCUAGGUAUGAAACUUUUAGAGUGAACCUGUACUAAUACCAAUUGUUGGAACCCUUAGGGAUUGCACCACACAGUGAGGGACCAGGUCCCUCAAAGUUAAUCACAAGCGAUAGAACAGUUAAGCAACUAUGAGGUACUGGAAAACAAAGGAAGUGCAGGAAGGUGAAAACACAAGAUUUUAACAUAGAAACCCAGGAAGGGAAAAACACGAUUUGCCCUCACAAGCACCAAAGAAAACCACUAUAAUCAAUCUCUUGAUUAUGGUCUAGAUUUCAGCCUACCUCUAGGCUCCUUUCGCUUAUAGCAACUCUACUACAAGCUCAUCUUGGUAACUUCACUAAGCACCUUCUACACUAAUUAGCUCUAAUCAGUAUCAACACUUAGGCAACUCUACUUAAGUAAUCUCUAAUCAAAGAGAAAAUUUAAUUACUCUGAUAACACAAUUAAUUUGAUUACAAAUCAAAACUAACUCAAGAACAACGUCUAUUCAAGUACGCAUAAUCAGCGAGGAACUUGAGCAAUGGAGUUUUUACUUUAUUUUUGCUUCUAUCUCUCUUCCUCUCUUUAGAAUUUACAAAAAGCUCACUUGAUGAAGAAGCACCUCUUUUCUUUUAUAGAUGAGUAAUGAUUAGGACUGAAAUAUUAUUAGACCAGCGGUCAUAAUCAAUACAAAAUAGCACCUGCAAGUUUGUUACAUAAGAGGACAAAACUGUACAAUCAACACAUGGCAGGUGUAUUGUACCUCGCAUAACCAAGGACCUUGUCCCUUGCAGUUAGCUGCUCAUCAUCAAAACUACAUAUAGCACACUGUAUUGGACAACUUUUUUCACAGAGUUUUUCCCUCAUGAAAGAAUCCAAAAUCAACGAAAAUAUACAAAUAUAGAAUCUACGCGUUAAAAUAAAGUCAACGAUACUCAAUGUCCACUUUUUAGUCAGAGUCAAAAUGAACCCUUGAAAUGGAUUUUUCAAAAGAGAAGGGUAAAAUCAAUUUUUUGCCUAAAAAUAUAUUCUCACGAUUAAGAGAAUUUAUCGAAGAAAAUCCAAGUGAAAACAAAUUGAAAUUGAGGUUUAAAGCGAAGAAAUACAAAUUUAGGCCUUCCGAAUCAAAAUCCUCAAAUUUUACCUUUUUUCAGGAUUAAGCAAGGUUUUAAUGAUAAGAAUCAAAGAAAAUGGUUAAAAUACGGAUUUGGAGUUUACCUAGGUUUGAAAAUUGCUCAAAAUUCGAAACCCCAAGCUCCAAGUCUCAAAAGUGGUGAGAAAAUGAGAAAAGAGUAUUUAAAUAUACCUAGGUUCCACAAAAGCGAGCCAUGGGCCGCUUUAGAGCUAACUGCUAAAGUGCCUAGGGCCAAUAAAGCGGUAUCCCGCUUGAGUGCAGGUGUCGCUUAAGUGGGCCCUAGCCACUUUGGCAGUCGGUGCGAAAGCACUCGGGCUACCGCUAAAGCGAUACCUGGAGACUGUGCUAGGGCCACUAAAACACCCAAAGGCCGCUGUAGUGCCCUCCACUAAAGCUCCCAAACGGCCACUUUUGCGGCUGCACCAGUUGUUGCACCAGCUGUGGAGAGUUGGAAAAUUCCAAGUCUCUGUGGACCCCUCGGGAUUCAUCUAAAAUCCUAAGAACGCAAACAAACUGUGCUACCCUAUCAAAUUUAAUACUUCGGACUCAAUAGCGAUAUCUGUUUUUCAAAAAAAUAUCAUUUUCACAAAGUUGAUCCCCAAAAUUCAAUUUCACAACUUUUCGAACUAAGGGUCAGAAUGAGAUUUAAAAGCCGUAAAACCAAACCAUGUUACCAACCUAAACUCAACACUAGAUUUGUUGGCAUAUUCUAUUUUUUCAUCUAACAUAGAUAUCAAUAAAUAUUAGCCAAAGUCAACUAUAAGACUUUCAAGCCACCAAAAACCACAAUUUCACAUAAUUCACAUUAAAAUGCACUUGGAACCAUGCCAAUUAUUUCCACACUCCAAAAAUACCACAACGUAACCAUGGAGAGGGUAAAAUAUUCAAAUCAUACAAAAAUAAAUAUUUCACAUGAAUUACAAAAAAUCAAGUUGUUACCUCAUCCACCACUAAAAAUCCAGUUCUUCCUUGAACUAAAGGCAAGAGAAAUAUAUGAGACGGCUAAAGAUGGGGGAUAACUAUAACGUAUAUCAAACUCGACCACCCAAGUAGCCUUAUCUAUAUGUCGAUGACUCUAUUGGACCUUAACCACUGGUAUAUCUCUAGAGCACAACCAUUUAACAUCCUUAGACGGAAUGGAGAUAGGCUAUCAGUAAAAGACAACCUCUUAUUUAACUGAACUGAAAUCCAACAAAUGAUAUGAUAUUUAUUCGGAAUAUAACGCCAAAGCAUGGAAACAUGAAAAACUAAAUGAACAACUGACAAAUCUAGGUCCAAUGCUAACUCAUACGUCACACUAUCAAUAGUCCAAAGAAUCUCAAAAGGGCCAAUAUACCUGGGGAUAAGCUUGCCCCUCUUCCCAAACCUCAUCACGCCCGUCAUGGGUGACACGAAGAAAAACUCGAUCAUUAAUACUAAAUCUCAGGCCAUAAAGUCUACGAUCCACAUAGCACUUCUGCCUAUUCUAAGCCGCUCGAAGGCUAUCCUAAAUGAUCUAAACUUUACCCAAGGACUCAUAAGACACUUCAAUACCUCAAUGUCUAAUCUUAGAAACCUCAAACCAACCAAUUAGUGAGCGACAACGCCUACUAUACAAAACCUUAAAAGGAGCCAUAUCAAUACUGGAAUCAUAGCUAUUAUUGUCCGCAAACUUUGCCCAAGCUAGAUAUUAUUUUCACUGUCCCCCAAAUUCCAUCACACGCGUGUGGAGCAUAUCCUCCAAAACUUAAAUAGUUUACUUUGACCGGCCAUCAGUCUGGGGUGAAAGGUUAUACUAAGAUCAACUCGAGUACCCAACUCCUCCUGAAAAGUCCUCCAAAAGUGAGAGUUGAACACUGAACCUCGAUCUGAGAUAAUAGACACUUGCACACCAUAAAGGCGCACAAUCUCACAAAUAUAGAUACGAGCCAACAUCUCAGCACUGAAAAAACCUGAAUCAAAGUUAAAUGAGCAGAUUUGGUUAAUUGAUCCAUGAUGACCCACACACUAUUCAAACAAUGAAAAGUACGAGGCAACCCAGUCAUGAAGCCCAUAGAGAUUCAUUCACAUUUCAACUUGGGAAUGGGUAACCUCUUAAACAAACCACCAGGUCCAUAAUGCUCGGCCUUCACCUACUGGUAACAUAAGCAACGAGCUAUAAAAUCCGCUACAUCCUUCCUUAUACUGCCCCACUAGUAAAGCUAUCUCAAGUCACGAUACAUCUUAGUCACUUCUGAAUGGAUGGAAUACUUGGAACAAUGAGCCUCCUCCAAAAUCAAUAUAAUCCAAUCACCUACUCUCGGCACACAAAUCAGCCUCCAAUCCUCAAAAUAUUAUUUAAAUCAAUUAAGGCUUCCAAGGCCUCCCCGCUCAACACCUUAUCUCGAAUCACUCUCAACCCAAUAUCACUAAACUGAUGAGCUUGAAUCUGCUCCAUUAAAGAAGACCUAGCCUCCACAAAAGCCAAACAUACCCAGGUGCCAAAAUAUCAAGCCUAAUUAUUUGGUUAGCCAAAGACUAAACCUCUAAGACCAAAUAGCUCUCCUAGGUCAAAAGAUGCACCAAUCUACCAAUUCUAGUCGACUUCCAGCUCAAGGCAUCUACAACCGCAUUAGCCUUGCUCGAAUGAUAGAAAAUAGUCAAGUCAUAAUCCUUAAGCAUCUUAAGCCAACGACGCUGCCUUAUAUUAAGAUCUCGCUGGAUGAAGGAAUACUAAAGGAUAUGAUGGUCAGAUAAAAUCUCACAACGGACUCCAUACAAGCAGUUCUCCAUAACUUCAAAACAAAAACUACUACAAAUAACUCCAAAUCAUGGGUAGGGUAAUUCCGUUCAUGGAGUUUCAACUAAUGAAAAGCAUACGCAAUCACUUUACACUCCAUCAACACAGCACCUAACCCAACACUUAAAGCAUCACAAAAGAUAGUAAAACCCACACCCUCCUUAGGCAAGGUCAAGAUAGGAGCUAAUGUCAAUAAAUCCUUGAACUUUUGAGAACUCAACUCAUAAGAAUUAGACCAUUGAAAAGAAAUCUUCUUCCGAGUCAACUUGGUUAACGGGGCUACAAUAGAUGAAAAACCCUCAACAAAAUUCUGAUAGUAACCUGCCAAGCCAACAAAACUCCAAGUCUCAGUGGGAAAAGUAGGCCUAACCCAAUCAUGAGCCAUUGCAAUCUUGGUUGGAUAAACCAUAAUACCAUUCUUAGCCACCGCAUGACCCAAAAAGGAGACAAACUCCAACCAAAACUCACACUUGGAGAACUUAGCAUACAACUUCUCAGUCCUCAGUCUUUAAAGCACAAUCCACAAGUACUCCUCAUAUUAACCUCACUCUUAGAAUAAAGCAAAAUAUCACCUAUAAAUACAAUAGCAAAGGAGUUGAGAUACAGUUGAAAUAUUUGGUUCAUCAAUUCCAAAAAUGCGAUAGGUCAUUGGUCAAAUCAAAAGACUUGACCAAGAACUCAUAAUGACCGUAUCGUGUUCAAAAAGUUGUCUUUGUAACAUCUGAAGCUCUAAUUUUCAACUAGUGGUACCCGAAUCUCAAAUUAAUCUUCAAAAAUAAUGAAGCACCCUAAAGCUGAUCAAAUAGAUCAUUAAUACUAGGAAGAGGAUAUUAAUUCUUAACCAUCACCUUGUUCAACUACUGAUAAUUAACACACAUACACAUAGACCCAUCCUUUUUCUUCACAAACAAGAUAGGUGCACCCUAAGGUGAUACACUAGGUCGAAUAAAUUCCUUAUCCAACAACUUCUGGCACUGAUCCUUCAAUUCCUUCAACUUUGUUGGGACCAUCAUAUAAGAAAGAAUAUAAAUGGGUUUGGUGCUUGGCUCAAUAUUAACGGUAAAUUUAAAAUCAUGAUCUAAAGGCAUACUAGACAUAUCUAUAGGGAACACAUCCAUGAACUCAGGAACAAUACAAACAAAAUCCAAAGAAGGAGGUGAAGAAAUAUUAGAAUUAUGAAUAUGAUCCAAAUAAGACAGAUAUCCAUCUCAACUAAGUGAUGAGCCUGAAUAAAAGUUAUAACUAUCUUGGGACCCAAAUAAAGCAUACCCAUCCAAGCUAUUCUUGGCAUAUCCGGCGGAGCUAACAUCAAUAAUAAUCUAGGAUACUAUGGUAAGGAUCUAAUCAAAGCAUACCCAAAUAAAGUCAAAAUCUAUCAUAUCUAAGACAAGCAGAUCUGCCCAAGUCUCAUGCCAAGAAAAAGUCACAACACAGAAUUAAUACACCUAAUCUACCACCAAAGAGUCUCCUAUUAGGGUAGAUACACAAAUAGGCAUGGCAAGAGGCUCACUAGCGGAAUCAAAACCUGAAAAAAAUAUGCAGACAUAGAAAAAAGUCGAUCUCGGAUCAAAUAACACAUAUACAAAUCUUACAUAAAGAUGAUGCCAAUGAUAAUGGUUUCACAAGUCUAUGCCUCUGAUAUAGAGGGUAUAGCAUAGCACUGUCCAUGACCACCAACUAACUAAAUAGCCCUACGACUACUACCACGAGCACUACUACCUCUACCUCACGCUCUCCUAGUAGAACCUCUGCCUCUCACAGUUGAAAUGAAAGUAGUUCUAAAUAUACGAUGGGGAUAACCCUUGGCCAAAUAGCCAACUACAUACUCACACAAGGCAAACUCUAUGGCCCAACUCAAUAGGAAAAGGUACAGCUGGGCCAAAAUGACCAUCCAAAGUUGCUAAACCAGAAGACCCACUACCCAAACUCUAUAAGGAUUCCACAUGGAUCUACCUAAUACCCACAAAAAACUCUAGGAUCCCUACCACGAGAUAUAUGUCCUUUGAACUCACCCUGAUGGUGCACCAUCUUAGUGCCUACCUGAGAUGCUUAAAGAAUAGAUUCAGUCAUCUUAGUACGAUCCAUUAUACACUGAAAUGAAGCUCCAUACACUGCUAUAUAAGUCGUAGCUAGCUAAAAAGAAACAUCCAAUCUUUGUAUGAAGUUUUGAAUAUUCUCAGAUUUGGGGGUAAUACUAGCAUAAAAAUAUCUAGACAAAGCAUGGAAGCAUGCCUCAUACUCUGCCACAGUUAGGGAACCUUGCUCCAGGUGAUCAAACUCAUCUCUCAUCCAAUCCCUCAAACUGUAAGUCACAAACCUCUCUAAAAAGGCCUCAAGAAACUGAUCUCAAGUUAUCUCAAAAGAGUCGGGGGGUUUGCAACCAAUAAGUGUCGCACCCUAUUUUGAACCGAUCAAAACAGCACAUGACGUAUGGUGUCGCAUCGUGACUCUUGGGAUUUGAAAAUUCAUUUUUUAGAGUCGCCACCUAACUUUUUAGGAAAAUUAGGAAAAAUCAUUUUUUAUUUGUGGCAUACAUAAAAUGGACUAGUUAUCAUGAUAAUGCAGUGAGAGAUUAAGGAGCUACAAUAUAUGUAAAUGGAUUAAAGAGCGAAAAUGGCUAUAAUAUAUGUUAAGAAUUACGUAAGGGUAGCAAAAGGUGUCACAUACACUUGUUAAAAAAAAACAUGAUGUUGGGGUCUUAGUUGCUAAACCCACAAGUAAACCAUAUUGUUGAGACCAUAUUAAGGCAAAUAAUAUUACUAAGAACCACCAGCGAAAAAGAAAAAAAAUGAGAAACCUGCACAUUCAAGCAUAAACAAAUCUUUUCUUUUGUUUUUAUUUACUUAAACAUUUGAUCCUUUGCCCUUUUUUUAAUACAGCAGAACGUGACACAAAAUGGGGUCAAGUUACCUUUUUGGGGAACAUAUUUCACGAUCAUACAUAUUUACAGCACCCAUAUGUAAUUUUCUCACAAAAAAAAGGAAUACAAUGCAAUCCACCUAUAAUAUUAAUUCUAUACAAAUUUAUCUUUUAUCUUUUAAUAUUCACUAUUCUAUAUAUGUACGCACACAGCCUAAACAACAGAGCAUGUCUACAUUCUCUAAUCAAUUUAAUCGAUGCCCAUUUGAUUAAAAGAAAUUCUAAUGAAAAAGAUAUAUCGUAAUAAUAAACAUACAUUCAUAUUUUUGCUCGAGGCAAGAAAAAAUUCCUUCAAAACUAUAUUUUACCAAAGAUAAACAAUGCAAACUAUUUCAAAGGUUUUAACUGCUACCACAAUAUUCUCAAACGAUCUUUGGCUUAAAAAAAACUCUUACAAAAAUAAUUUGAAAACGUUUGAGCAAUUAUGAUGGGACACAUUUUCCUUGCGCAAAUCAACUUUCAACAAUAAGAAAUGGAAUGUCCUCAAAUUAAGAAAAUUUAAAACAACAUCAAAUUUGAGAAAUUAAUCCACAUAAUGAAAGACAACACCGAACAAACAGGAAAACAAAGGAAUCGAGCAUUUUUUCACAAAUCAGUGAUGAUGUAAUUUAAUUAAAAUCAAAUAUAAGCAUAUUCUGAGAUCAAUAACGAAGACACAAGUUUGGUCAAAUUCACACCUAAUUUUUUUUUAGAGUUAACAGCAAACACGAAAGUGACUUAUUCAUAUACUAACAAACCCGUGUACACACAACAUGAACUUUCAUAUUCAAAUCAUGCUCGUCGACGAGAUUCCCAAAGGACCACAACAAUAAAACAAGAUAAACAAAUGUAUAAACUCAUGUAUUUAGCACGAAAUAAUUUUUUGAUUCAAAAACCACAAUAUCUACCCACAGGGCCAGGAUACCAACAACAACAUAGCUCGCAAUCAAAAUACCUCUUAUAUUUAACAGAAUUUAAAAUAAAUGAAGAGAAAAACUAUGAAAAUAAAGUGAGAAAGGGGUGUGUCCGCACCUUUUUUGGUGCAGUAAACUGGAAUGUUGACGUCGGGAUAGUUUCUGAUGACUAUGAACCCACUCUGAAACUUCAAAUUUGGACAAAAUCAAAAGAAAGAACUUGGAAAUUUAACACCCUUAAUUUUCGAACCUGUUCUCGUCCCCAUUUUUUUAAAUCUUCCCCCUUUUUCUUUCGAUUUUUCUCAUGUUUUCACACCAUUUUUCUUCCUUCAAUUUUAUCUCCCUUUUCUUCCCUCUUUUUGAUUUUUCCCAGCAUUUUGUUUUUUAACUCUCUCUUUGUUUUUUCCUUUUUUUCCCAAACCCAUUUGCUUUCUUUUUCUUUCACGAAUUUUCUUUUCCCCCUUCCAUGGAUGACGAAGGACGAUAUUUAUAGAAGAAUCCAGACUUAAAAGUACGGAUUCAAAACUCAAAAUUAUGGAAAAGCAGAGGGGUAGGGAGAUUUGAAUUACGAAUCUAACAGAAUCUCCUUUUGACUAUUCCAGAGAUUCCUUGGUUGUAGUUAUUGCAUCAAUUUAGGACUGCCCCUUUGCUUGUCUCGAUUUCACCGAUUCAAUAGUGUAAAAUUAGAGAUUCUUGGCAGUAAAUCUAAGCAGCGGCAGGGCUAUGAAAGAUUAUGUUUUUUAGAUAUUGGGGAUGGUGGAGGAAAAAAAGAAGGGAAAAGGGGUGGUAGUUUUUGCGUUAUUUUGGGCAUAUGGACGUGAGAACAUGCUGAUUUCCUAGGGAGGAGGGAUAUUACGCGUGCCUUUGG